rnacentral:piRNA from 1 species
UGAUCUACAUGUGCCACGUCCAGUGAGGU